GGGUUGUGAGGUUAAGCGACUAAGCGUACACGGUGGAUGCCCUGGCAGUCAGAGGCGAUGAAGGACGUGCUAAUCUGCGAUAAGCGUCGGUAAGGUGAUAUGAACCGUUAUAACCGGCGAUUUCCGAAUGGGGAAACCCAGUGUGUUUCGACACACUAUCAUUAACUGAAUCCAUAGGUUAAUGAGGCGAACCGGGGGAACUGAAACAUCUAAGUACCCCGAGGAAAAGAAAUCAACCGAGAUUCCCCCAGUAGCGGCGAGCGAACGGGGAGCAGCCCAGAGCCUGAAUCAGUGUGUGUGUUAGUGGAAGCGUCUGGAAAGGCGUGCGAUACAGGGUGACAGCCCCGUACACAAAAAUGCACAUGCUGUGAGCUCGAUGAGUAGGGCGGGACACGUGGUAUCCUGUCUGAAUAUGGGGGGACCAUCCUCCAAGGCUAAAUACUCCUGACUGACCGAUAGUGAACCAGUACCGUGAGGGAAAGGCGAAAAGAACCCCGGCGAGGGGAGUGAAAAAGAACCUGAAACCGUGUACGUACAAGCAGUGGGAGCACGCUUAGGCGUGUGACUGCGUACCUUUUGUAUAAUGGGUCAGCGACUUAUAUUCUGUAGCAAGGUUAACCGAAUAGGGGAGCCGAAGGGAAACCGAGUCUUAACUGGGCGUUAAGUUGCAGGGUAUAGACCCGAAACCCGGUGAUCUAGCCAUGGGCAGGUUGAAGGUUGGGUAACACUAACUGGAGGACCGAACCGACUAAUGUUGAAAAAUUAGCGGAUGACUUGUGGCUGGGGGUGAAAGGCCAAUCAAACCGGGAGAUAGCUGGUUCUCCCCGAAAGCUAUUUAGGUAGCGCCUCGUGAAUUCAUCUCCGGGGGUAGAGCACUGUUUCGGCAAGGGGGUCAUCCCGACUUACCAACCCGAUGCAAACUGCGAAUACCGGAGAAUGUUAUCACGGGAGACACACGGCGGGUGCUAACGUCCGUCGUGAAGAGGGAAACAACCCAGACCGCCAGCUAAGGUCCCAAAGUCAUGGUUAAGUGGGAAACGAUGUGGGAAGGCCCAGACAGCCAGGAUGUUGGCUUAGAAGCAGCCAUCAUUUAAAGAAAGCGUAAUAGCUCACUGGUCGAGUCGGCCUGCGCGGAAG
rnacentral:rRNA from 1 species